UUUUAUUUUUAUUAUUUUAAUAUUAUUGAGAAAACAUUACAUUUGACCUUGCCUGGCCCUCCUCCACCUCUCAUCUGCUUCCCAGUGCAUGGGAACACAGGACCCUUCCACUUAAAACAUCUGUUCUGAUCUUAAUUUCCCCACUUUAACUAUCAUCAUCACCAAAAGUGGUCCUGCCUCUCUGUGGCUUCAGGGGGGGAAGAUGCCCCCCCCCCUACAGGUGACUCAGCAGAGUAGAGGGAAACCCUCAGCCACAGGUGGAGGGGGAUUCACAUGGAAAGUGAUACCUUUCCUUUUAAACGGGGGAGGAGGGGACUGUCGAGGUCUCAGCAGGUUAGAGCACUUGCUAUUGUUGCGAGGACCAGCAUUGGGUUCCCACCUUUGAUGUUAGGUGCUCACAGCUGCCUGUAACUCUAGCUCCAGGGGACUCUGGCACUUUUGACUUGCAAUGAUCCCUGCACACGUGUGGAAUUAUGCCCACAGGCACAUAAUUAAAGAACAUGAUAAAAAAAAUAACAUUUAAAAGCGCGAGGAAGUAUGAAUUGAGGGGAAAUGGACUUGAAGACAGUUCCUGUCUUGUGGUAGAGAAAUGGGGUCAGCGGGCGGCUCUGGGUUUGAGCGCUGCUUCAUCACUGAUCAGCUUUCUAGCCAGGAAAAAAAAAAAUCACGGACAGGAUUUCCAAGCCUCACUUCCUCCUAAGGAAAAUGAGAUUUUGCUCAUUCAUUCAUUUUACUGAUUUUGCAGUCCGGGCUCUUUUGCUUUUCAGUCAUUGUGCGCGUGUGCGCGUGCGCGCGUGCGCACGUGCAUGUGUGAGUUUUUUGUUGCCAUGACUGCGGCAAUUUAUAGAAGAAAAAGUUUGUUUGCACUUAAGGUUCAAGGGUUAGAGUUCAUGACGACAAAGCAGAGGCCUGGCAGCUGGCAGCUGAAGCUGAGGGCUCAGUGGGAAUGGCCAAGGCUUUGAAAUCUCAGAGUCCAUCCUUACACCCCCAACUCCCGACCCCACCCCGUACUUCUUUCAUCAAGGCUACACCUCCUAAGCUUCCUCAGCAGGAGACCAAGCACUCAGACGUCUGUGCCUGUGUGGGACAUUCUCAUUCAGACCUCCACAGUUUGUCUGUGUGACUCGGGAGCCAGCACAGUGUGGGUCUAUCUACUGAACUCAGGCUUAGGGAGGAGAGCUGUACCUGCUGAGCCAUCUCGCUGCCAUCUCCGUAGUUCUGAUAGAGAGAGAGAGCGCGACCUUCACACAAAGACAAACCGCUUCUAAAGCCUGGAGAAGAGUGCCCAGCACAAAGCGAUUCUUCAGGAAAACUCUGCUGUUAAAUUGUAUACGAGUUCUAAUUGCUAGCACUGCACUGCACUAAUGAUAAAAGAACCGUAGCAGCCCUUGGUGCUGAAAGGAAGGUGACCCACAAUUACCCUCAGUGAGUUUCAUUAGCAAUGAAAAGGGCUCAAGGUCAUGGUUGGGCCUCUAAAUGGGCAGAAGAAAAAUCACACAGGAAAAAAAAUAAUAUAAGGCAUUUUAACAUGAUGGAGCUUAUGUUUAAGAGAAAGAGGAUGUUUCCAUUUAAACCUGAAGCGGGGGUUUAUUUAAAGAGAAACAGGGACAGGGACAAAGGUGAUUGUGCUGAUGAGAGAUAACAGGACAGCUUUCAGGGCACCUCCAGAGCAACCCCCACCCCAGGAGUCUCCAGUCCCGUUUCCCCAAACAAAGGAGAAUUUUGGCUUUUUAUAACCUUAGGGGAGUAGCAGAAGGUUUCCGUUCUGUAUGGCCUAUGUAACAGAGCCCUCAGAGGAGAUGGGGAUCAAAUUGUGAAGCCUGUCACGUCACAAUACAAACUGUUUUUUAACUCUCUGUCCCAGGACGCGUGGGGGGUGGGGAGGGGCAUAGAGCUGUAGCCUAAUUUAGGCUAUAGGAUCUGACUAGUGGGCCAAGAAAGACACAAUGCUAUCAAGAGAAGGGGGGAAGAGGAAGAGAGAGGGGGAAAGGUGGUGGCUGAAAGAGAAAGGGGAAAAAGAGAUAGAGGGAGAGGGCAUUCCCCUUAUUUAUAGGGAAAAUGAUGUAACACAGGUAAAAGUGGGAGGUGAGCCAAGUAGAUUCUGGGAAUAGGUGCCUGUUGCCUUGGCAACGGGUCUGCGGGUCGCACUGUCGCCUGUGUGACGUCAUAGGUUUGGGAGGUCGUGAUGCCAACAGCAUAAGCAUGCAGCAGUGAAUCCUUCAUUUGUCCAGACCCAGUCUCCAGGGCCACAGCUUCCUACACAGACAUCGCCCUGCCCAUCCGAUGGGGUUGUUAGCAUCUUUCUCUCCUCUUGAGGAAACACAACCGCUUGGGACUCAGUUCCUUUUUCAGAUUUAUGUCUUUCAGUCAAAGGCUAAAUGCUACAGCGACUCUUAGAGAGGACAACAUUUAACUGGGGCUGGCUCACAGUUCAGAGGUUCAGUCCGUUGUCGUGACAGAACGCAUGGUCGCAUGCAGGAGACGGUGCUAGAGAGGCAGCUGUCAGCUUUGGAUCUGGAUUUGCAGAACGCAGCCACACAUCCUAAUAGUGCCACUCCCUAUGGAUCAACAUGGGCAUUCUCAUCAAACCACCAUGAGCCAUCAAGAUGACUAAAGGUGUUUCCUGAUAAGCCUGACAGCCUUGGUUGGAUCUCAGGACUCACAUGGUAGAAGGAGAGAACUGAUCUUUGCAAACUGCCUACUAACCUCCACAUGUGGUGCACACAUGCAUAAAUUCAUAAAUAAAUUAAAUGAAAAACAAAAGUCAACUGAAAAGUAACUCAAGAAUAAACCUGCCAUCUUCUGUC